GUUUGAUCAUAGCUCAGGAUGAACGCUAGCGGUGCGCCUAACACAUGCAAGUCGAGCGAAGAUAGAGGGCUUGCUCUCUAUUUUAGCGGCAAACGGGUGCGUAACACGUUGAUACUUCCCCCAAAGUGAGGAAUAACCUCGAGAAAUCGAGAUUAAUACCGCAUACGCCUUCGGGUAAAAGCAGCAAUGCGCUAUGGGAAAGGUCUGCGGCCUAUCAGCUAGUUGGUGAGGUAAUAGCUCACCAAGGCGAUGACGGGUAGCUGGUCUGAGAGGACGGCCAGCCACAAUGGAACUGAGACACGGUCCAUACUCCUACGGGAGGCAGCAGUGAGGAAUCUUCCACAAUGGGCGAAAGCCUGAUGGAGCGACACCGCGUGAAGGAUGAAGCCUUUGUUGGUGUAAACUUCUUUUCUCUGGGAAGAUAAUGACGGUACCAGAGGAAUAAGGGGCGGCAAACUUCGUGCCAGCAGCCGCGGUAAUACGAAGGCCCCAAGCGUUAUCCGGAAUUACUGGGCGUAAAGCGUCUGUAGGUGGUCUCUUAAGUCUUUCCGUGAAAAUCCAGGGCUCAACCCCGGACUGCGGGAGAAACUGGGAGACUCGAGUGUGGGAGGGGCAAGCAGAACGGUAAGAGUAGGGGUGCAAUCCGUUGAUACUUACCAGAAUACCAAAAGCGAAGGCAGCUUGCUGGAACAUUACUGACACUGAGAGACGAAAGCGUGGGGAGCAAAAGGGAUUAGAUACCCCUGUAGUCCACGCCCUAAACGAUGGAUGCUAAGUGUUGGACUUCGGUUCAGUGCUUCAAGCUAACGCAUUAAGCAUCCCGCCUGAGGAUUACGGUCGCAAGAUUAAAACUCAAAUGAAUAGACGGGGACCCGCACAAGCAGUGGAUCAUGUGGUUUAAUUCGACACUAAACGAGGAACCUCACCUAGGCUUGACAUUGAUAGAAUUUUCCAGAAAUGGAUUAGUGCCCGCAAGGGAACUUGAAAACAGGCGCUGCAUGGUUGUCGUCAGCUCGUGCCUUGAGGUGUUCGGUUAAGUCCGUUAACGAGCGCAACCCACGUCGUUA
rnacentral:rRNA from 1 species